rnacentral:rRNA from 1 species
UACGUAGGUGGCAAGCGUUGUCCGGAAUUAUUGGGCGUAAAGCGCGCGCAGGUGGUUUCUUAAGUCUGAUGUGAAAGCCCACGGCUCAACCGUGGAGGGUCAUUGGAAACUGGGGAACUUGAGUGCAGAAGAGGAAAGUGGAAUUCCACGUGUAGCGGCGAAAUGCGUAGAGAUGUGGAGGAACACCAGUGGCGAAGGCGACUUUCUGGUCUGUAACUGACACUGAGGCGCGAAAGCGUGGGGAGCGAACAGG